GCUGGCGGCGUGCCUAAUACAUGCAAGUCGAACGAACUCUGGUAUUGAUUGGUGCUUGCAUCAUGAUUUACAUUUGAGUGAGUGGCGAACUGGUGAGUAACACGUGGGAAACCUGCCCAGAAGCGGGGGAUAACACCUGGAAACAGAUGCUAAUACCGCAUAACAACUUGGACCGCAUGGUCCGAGCUUGAAAGAUGGCUUCGGCUAUCACUUUUGGAUGGUCCCGCGGCGUAUUAGCUAGAUGGUGGGGUAACGGCUCACCAUGGCAAUGAUACGUAGCCGACCUGAGAGGGUAAUCGGCCACAUUGGGACUGAGACACGGCCCAAACUCCUACGGGAGGCAGCAGUAGGGAAUCUUCCACAAUGGACGAAAGUCUGAUGGAGCAACGCCGCGUGAGUGAAGAAGGGUUUCGGCUCGUAAAACUCUGUUGUUAAAGAAGAACAUAUCUGAGAGUAACUGUUCAGGUAUUGACGGUAUUUAACCAGAAAGCCACGGCUAACUACGUGCCAGCAGCCGCGGUAAUACGUAGGUGGCAAGCGUUGUCCGGAUUUAUUGGGCGUAAAGCGAGCGCAGGCGGUUUUUUAAGUCUGAUGUGAAAGCCUUCGGCUCAACCGAAGAAGUGCAUCGGAAACUGGGAAACUUGAGUGCAGAAGAGGACAGUGGAACUCCAUGUGUAGCGGUGAAAUGCGUAGAUAUAUGGAAGAACACCAGUGGCGAAGGCGGCUGUCUGGUCUGUAACUGACGCUGAGGCUCGAAAGUAUGGGUAGCAAACAGGAUUAGAUACCCUGGUAGUCCAUACCGUAAACGAUGAAUGCUAAGUGUUGGAGGGUUUCCGCCCUUCAGUGCUGCAGCUAACGCAUUAAGCAUUCCGCCUGGGGAGUACGGCCGCAAGGCUGAAACUCAAAGGAAUUGACGGGGGCCCGCACAAGCGGUGGAGCAUGUGGUUUAAUUCGAAGCUACGCGAAGAACCUUACCAGGUCUUGACAUACUAUGCAAAUCUAAGAGAUUAGACGUUCCCUUCGGGGACAUGGAUACAGGUGGUGCAUGGUUGUCGUCAGCUCGUGUCGUGAGAUGUUGGGUUAAGUCCCGCAACGAGCGCAACCCUUAUUAUCAGUUGCCAGCAUUAAGUUGGGCACUCUGGUGAGACUGCCGGUGACAAACCGGAGGAAGGUGGGGAUGACGUCAAAUCAUCAUGCCCCUUAUGACCUGGGCUACACACGUGCUACAAUGGAUGGUACAACGAGUUGCGAACUCGCGAGAGUAAGCUAAUCUCUUAAAGCCAUUCUCAGUUCGGAUUGUAGGCUGCAACUCGCCUACAUGAAGUCGGAAUCGCUAGUAAUCGCGGAUCAGCAUGCCGCGGUGAAUACGUUCCCGGGCCUUGACACACCGCCCGUCACACCAUGAGAGUUUGUAACACCCAAAGUCGGUGGGGUAACCUUUUAGGAACCAGCCGCCUAAGGUGGAC
rnacentral:rRNA from 2 species